GCCCGCUCAAGAACUCAAAGGAAUUGACGGGACCCCGCACAAGCGGUGGAUCAUGUUGUUUAAUUCGAUGAUACGCGAAGAACCUUACCAGGUCUUGACAUCCCCCGCGAUGCUUUAGAGAUAAAGCGGAGGUAUUCGGGGAGACAGGUGGUGCAUGGUUGUCGUCAGCUCGUGUCGUGAGAUGUUGGGUUAAGUCCCGCAACGAGCGCAACCCCUAUUGCUAGUUACCAUCAUUAAGUUGGGGACUCUAGCGAGACUGCCAGUGAUAAACUGGAGGAAGGUGGGGAUGACGUCAAAUCAUCAUGCCCCUUAUGACCUGGGCUACAAACGUGAUACAAUGGCUGGAACAAAGGGAUGCGAAGCAGUGAUGUGGAGCGAAACCCAUAAAACCGAUCGUAGUCCGGAUCGCAGUCUGCAACUCGACUGCGUGAAGUCGGAAUCGCUAGUAAUCGUGAAUCAGAAUGUCACGGUGAAUACGUUCCCGGGCCUU
rnacentral:rRNA from 1 species